CCUACGGGUGGCAGCAGUGAGGAAUAUUCGUCAAUGGACGCGAGUCUGAACCAGCCAAGCAGCGUGAAUGAUGACUGCCCUAUGGGCUUUAAACUUCUUUUAUAUGGGAAUAAAAUGUUCCACGUGUGGGAUUUUGUAUGUACCAUAUGAAUAAGGAUCGGCUAACUCCGUGCCAGCAGCCGCGGUAAUACGGAGGAUCCGAGCGUUGUUCGGAUUGAUUGGGUUUAAAGGGAGCGUAGGUGGAUUGUUAAGUCAGUUGUGAAAGUGUGCGGCUCAACCGUAAAAUUGCAGUUGAAACUGGCAGUCUUGAGUACAGUAGAGGUGGGCGGAAUUCGUGGUGUAGCGGUGAAAUGCUUAGAGAUCACGAAGAACUCCGGUUGCGAAGGCAGCUCACUGGACUGCAACUGACACUGAGGCUCGAAAGUGUGGGUAUCAAACAGGAUUAGAUACCCGGGUAGUC
rnacentral:rRNA from 1 species